GAGGAAUAAGCAUCGGCUAACCCUGUGCCAGCAGCCGCGGUAAUACAGGGGAUGCAAGUGUUAUCCGGAAUUAUUGGGCGUAAAGCGUCUGUAGGUUGAUAAUUAAGUCUUUUGUUAAACCUUCGGGCUCAACCCGAAAUCUGCGAAAGAAACUAUUUAUCUUGAGUAUAGUAGGGGUAAAGGGAAUUUCCAGUGGAGCGGUGAAAUGCGUAGAGAUCGGAAAGAACACCAAAAGCGAAGGCACUUUACUGGGCUAUAACUGACACUGAGAGACGAAAGCUAGGGGAGCAAACGGGAUUAGAUACCCCGGUAGUCCUAGCUGUAAACGAUGGAUACUAGAUAUUGUGUAUUUUAGAUAUACAGUGUCGUAGCUAACGCGUUAAGUAUCCCGCCUGGGGAGUAUGCUCGCAAGGGUGAAACUCAAAGGAAUUGACGGGGGCCCGCACAAGCGGUGGAGCAUGUGGUUUAAUUCGAUGCAACACGAAGAACCUUACCAGGACUUGACAUGGAGAGAAGUUUUCAGAAAGGAAAAUGUGCUACGGCCUCUUACACAGAUGGUGCAUGGCUGUCGUCAGCUCGUGUCGUGAGAUGUUGGGUUAAGUCCCGCAACGAGCGCAACCCUUGUCUUUAGUUAAUAUUCUAAAGAGACUGCCGGUUAUAAACCGGAGGAAGGUGAGGAUGACGUCAAGUCAUCAUGCCUCUUACGUCCUGGGCUACACACGUGCUACAAUGGGUAUGACAAAAAGUUGCCAGUUUGCGAAAACGCGCGAAUCUCUAAACAUAUCCUUAGUUCAGAUUGCAGGCUGCAACUCGCCUACGUGAAG
rnacentral:rRNA from 1 species